rnacentral:lncRNA from 1 species
AACAGUUGAUCAGUAACUUGUAGAAUUGUCAUCUGAAGAUUGGCUGCUUUCCACAUAAUCCAUAUUCUUCCAUUGGGAGCAUAGGUGUAGUUGUUCUCUGUUGUCCAGUCUUCUCCCAGUUUCUUACAAAGUGCCAUGGAUUUAUGCUGUUUCACUCUAGUUUCAAGGCAUGCUACUAAGUCUACUCUAUUGUUUCUUAGGAAUUUAAGUAGCUCUCUUUGUUUAUAGGACUUGUUGAGUCCUCUAAUGUUCCAUGAGACAAUGAUCAUAAUUAAAGGUUGGGUUUGGUGCCUCCUGGAUCCCUAGGGGGCAUCUGGGAAUUGCAUUUCUGUUGAGGUUCAACAGGUAGCUCUGUGAUGGAUAAGGCUUCAAAGGAGUUGGUUCUGGAUACUUC